rnacentral:rRNA from 1 species
AGCAGCAGCCGCGGUAAUACGAAGGGGGCUAGCGUUGUUCGGAUUUACUGGGCGUAAAGGGCGCGUAGGCGGACUGAUAAGUCAGGGGUGAAAUCCCAAGGCUCAACCUUGGAACUGCCUUUGAUACUGUCUGUCUUGAGUUCGAGAGAGGUAAGAGGAACUGCGAGUGUAGAGGUGAAAUUCGUAGAUAUUCGCAAGAACACCAGUGGCGAAGGCGGCUUACUGGCUCGAAACUGACGCUGAGGCGCGAAAGCGUGGGGAGCAAACAGGAUUAGAUACCCGUGUAGUCCCUGUCUCUUAUAC